UGACUGCGUACCUUUUGUAUAAUGGGUCAGCGACUUAUAUUCUGUAGCAAGGUUAACCGAAUAGGGGAGCCGAAGGGAAACCGAGUCUUAACUGGGCGUUAAGUUGCAGGGUAUAGACCCGAAACCCGGUGAUCUAGCCAUGGGCAGGUUGAAGGUUGGGUAACACUAACUGGAGGACCGAACCGACUAAUGUUGAAAAAUUAGCGGAUGACUUGUGGCUGGGGGUGAAAGGCCAAUCAAACCGGGAGAUAGCUGGUUCUCCCCGAAAGCUAUUUAGGUAGCGCCUCGUGAAUUCAUCUCCGGGGGUAGAGCACUGUUUCGGCAAGGGGGUCAUCCCGACUUACCAACCCGAUGCAAACUGCGAAUACCGGAGAAUGUUAUCACGGGAGACACACGGCGGGUGCUAACGUCCGUCGUGAAGAGGGAAACAACCCAGACCGCCAGCUAAGGUCCCAAAGUCAUGGUUAAGUGGGAAACGAUGUGGGAAGGCCCAGACAGCCAGGAUGUUGGCUUAGAAGCAGCCAUCAUUUAAAGAAAGCGUAAUAGCUCACUGGUCGAGUCGGCCUGCGCGGAAGAUGUAACGGGGCUAAACCAUGCACCGAAGCUGCGGCAGCGACGCUUAUGCGUUGUUGGGUAGGGGAGCGUUCUGUAAGCCUGUGAAGGUGUGCUGUGAGGCAUGCUGGAGGUAUCAGAAGUGCGAAUGCUGACAUAAGUAACGAUAAAGCGGGUGAAAAGCCCGCUCGCCGGAAGACCAAGGGUUCCUGUCCAACGUUAAUCGGGGCAGGGUGAGUCGACCCCUAAGGCGAGGCCGAAAGGCGUAGUCGAUGGGAAACAGGUUAAUAUUCCUGUACUUGGUGUUACUGCGAAGGGGGGACGGAGAAGGCUAUGUUGGCCGGGCGACGGUUGUCCCGGUUUAAGCGUGUAGGCUGGUUUUCCAGGCAAAUCCGGAAAAUCAAGGCUGAGGCGUGAUGACGAGGCACUACGGUGCUGAAGCAACAAAUGCCCUGCUUCCAGGAAAAGCCUCUAAGCAUCAGGUAACAUCAAAUCGUACCCCAAACCGACACAGGUGGUCAGGUAGAGAAUACCAAGGCGCUUGAGAGAACUCGGGUGAAGGAACUAGGCAAAAUGGUGCCGUAACUUCGGGAGAAGGCACGCUGAUAUGUAGGUGAGGUCCCUCGCGGAUGGAGCUGAAAUCAGUCGAAGAUACCAGCUGGCUGCAACUGUUUAUUAAAAACACAGCACUGUGCAAACACGAAAGUGGACGUAUACGGUGUGACGCCUGCCCGGUGCCGGAAGGUUAAUUGAUGGGGUUAGCGGUAACGCGAAGCUCUUGAUCGAAGCCCCGGUAAACGGCGGCCGUAACUAUAACGGUCCUAAGGUAGCGAAAUUCCUUGUCGGGUAAGUUCCGACCUGCACGAAUGGCGUAAUGAUGGCCAGGCUGUCUCCACCCGAGACUCAGUGAAAUUGAACUCGCUGUGAAGAUGCAGUGUACCCGCGGCAAGACGGAAAGACCCCGUGAACCUUUACUAUAGCUUGACACUGAACAUUGAGCCUUGAUGUGUAGGAUAGGUGGGAGGCUUUGAAGUGUGGACGCCAGUCUGCAUGGAGCCGACCUUGAAAUACCACCCUUUAAUGUUUGAUGUUCUAACGUUGACCCGUAAUCCGGGUUGCGGACAGUGUCUGGUGGGUAGUUUGACUGGGGCGGUCUCCUCCUAAAGAGUAACGGAGGAGCACGAAGGUUGGCUAAUCCUGGUCGGACAUCAGGAGGUUAGUGCAAUGGCAUAAGCCAGCUUGACUGCGAGCGUGACGGCGCGAGCAGGUGCGAAAGCAGGUCAUAGUGAUCCGGUGGUUCUGAAUGGAAGGGCCAUCGCUCAACGGAUAAAAGGUACUCCGGGGAUAACAGGCUGAUACCGCCCAAGAGUUCAUAUCGACGGCGGUGUUUGGCACCUCGAUGUCGGCUCAUCACAUCCUGGGGCUGAAGUAGGUCCCAAGGGUAUGGCUGUUCGCCAUUUAAAGUGGUACGCGAGCUGGGUUUAGAACGUCGUGAGACAGUUCGGUCCCUAUCUGCCGUGGGCGCUGGAGAACUGAGGGGGGCUGCUCCUAGUACGAGAGGACCGGAGUGGACGCAUCACUGGUGUUCGGGUUGUCAUGCCAAUGGCACUGCCCGGUAGCUAAAUGCGGAAGAGAUAAGUGCUGAAAGCAUCUAAGCACGAAACUUGCCCCGAGAUGAGUUCUCCCUGACUCCUUGA
rnacentral:rRNA from 1 species